GGUGACGUACGGCACGGUGUGAGGAGCUCACACGUCUUGCAGAGUGAUGUCGGAAAGCGAUGCAAUGCGUCUGAGCUCCGUACACAGUGCUGGGUCUUUCCG